CGCGACGCACGCUCAUGAGUUGCAAGUCAUGCUCGCUGCCGGAGCCAAACGCGAACGCGAAGGCGGCCACGGAACUUAUACGACGGAGCCGCGAAGAUUCCGUCCACGGGUUAUAAUAUCGGUAAAACGACGGCGACAGCGCUAACGCCAUUCCGUGUCCAAGAACACAGUGGAAGCAUGUGGAAGCUUCUAGAACAUUCCGAGUUCGUCUACUGUAGGCUGCGACAUUUUUUUUUUAUUCCUUUGUUUUUACCAUCCCCACUCGCGCCGAUCGCGGUGAUAACAGCGGCGCGCCGGCUAGCGAGCCGGUGACGUAGUUCGACAUUAGACCAAUGAGAGAAGAAAAGAAAUUGCCCGGGCAUAUCAACGCAUGCGCCGAAGAGCUUGGCAUCUAUGGGCAUAUAUCGAGCAUCGGGGGCUCGGGCCGCCAUUUUACAUUUUCUGUCCACUUCGACGUGCCUCGUCUCGGCAGCCUUCUGCGUCGCACCAUGCCUCGAGCUCCUGCUGGUCCUAGUUACGCGCUAACGGUGGCAGCGCUUGUCGAAGUUUCACGCUGCGCACGUUCCCGCCUUCGGCCGACUCUGGAAGCACUGGCUUCAUGCUCCGGCGCCUGAAAAACGUGAGGCACGCCUCGAGAGACUUGUAGCCCGACCCGCCCACCGUCUCGGCAAUUCCUGGCCCCGCUUUCGAGCUCCCGGAGUGUAAGUGACCGCCAACCGGCAUAACUACGUUACUAUACGCCGACGACACUCCGGUCGAGCCGGCGCAGCGUAUAUAAGUCGCAAGUCGUUCCUGCCGAGUACUCCUUCUUUUGUUUGUGCGCGUUCCCACCCCCCGACGGCGCCUGGACUAUUGAACUGUGGAUGAACUCUGAGCGUGGCCACUAACCCCAGGACCUGCGCGGCAACCCCUCGUCACGGCGAGCGUCGUCUCUACGAGCUUCGCAUCGAGCGUCCUAAACGCUCAAAAGGCCUGUGUGUGCACUUAGUGCAUUUUUUUCUAGAUGGUCUAGCUGGCGAGGGUGGCGCAUGCCUUAGGGAAGUUAACUGUUCAGUUGCACUAGCUAGCGCUCACUAGGGUUGUAUAGCUGCACUACAAGAUUCCGUAAAGUUAGUGUUGUUGCUUAGCUGUAAGCCCGAGGUUUCGUGGGCAUGGCUUGCGGCCACACGGGUCUUCUCCGUGCCGGAAUCGAAGAGGACGGGCCACGUGUUGCGGGGUGGCAGUGUAUAGCUUCAGGUUUUAGCUGGCACAGAGGGUUAGCUAACACUACGCAGGCAACAGCUGAUAGCCGUCCUCUUACGACUGCGUCAGGGACAUGGACCCAUCCGAACGGCCUUGCGACCCGACCCCACUAUUUCGUGACGUAGGUAGCCCGCGCGCGUGAGUGCGCGUGCUAUCGAGCGAAAUGUGGAAUGACGGAAGCAAACGGCCUUCGGACACAACCUCGCCAGCUAUUAGGCAUUAACCCGUUCUACGCAGCACCUCGACGCCGGACGUCGCCUGCUGUUUCCGUCGGAGCUGGGCCGGGCAGCAGCUACAAGCGUCACUCGUACCGCGCCCGGUCUACCGUGUUCCCUCGUCGGAGUGGCCUUGUGGCUCUGCACCGGGAUCCCGAGGUCCGCUUUCGAGAUUGCGGACCACGAGUCGGAAGGAUAUCCAGUGUGCUUCUCACGUUCGCCAUCCUCCCAACGUCCCCCACCGGAGAGGGCCUUGAGCACCUCUUACCGUGGCUGACCGCGUUGGCUCCUUUGCAUUUCCACGUCCAUGGCAUCCUUCUGCUACGGGGGACUUCGUUUGUUACUACUGCCCACGUGUAAGAUGGAUAUCCAGUGCGCUGCUCCACGUUUGCCAUCCUCCCAACGUCCCCCUCAGGAGAUGGCCUAGAGCGCCGCUCGUACCGGGACCGACCGUUCCCCUUCGCCGGUGCGGUCUCGCUGGCAGACGAGAUUGCUCGUCGCCCUGCGUUGCUACGGGAUCCCGACGUCUGCGUUCGAUUAAGGCCCAUGAUAUGUUAACCAGUGGGCUGCUCCCCGUUUGCCAUCCUCCCAACGCCCCUUUCGAGAGAUAGCCUAGUGAACCACUCGUACUCUGGCCAACCGUGUUUAAUUACCAUCCCUCACCCAUGGCGUCCUGUUGGCAGUCCGAACCUUGCUCCUCGCACGCCACUACUGAAGACAGUUUUGGAUGGCGGUGAGCGAGGAGGACGCCCGAGGCAGUUUUGCCAAAAGAUGCUUCUGAGCAACAAUCCAUCCACGGCUGUGGUCGUUUGGACAUCCAAGUCUGAGUGUGGCCACUAACCCCAGGACCUGCGCAGCAACCCCUUGUCACGGCGAGCGUCGUCUCUGCGAGCUUCGCAUCGAGCGUCCGAAACGCUCAUCAGGUGGUCUUUGUGCAUAUUCCAGAUGGUCUAGCUGGCGAGGGUGGCGCACGCCUUAAGGAAGUUAAAUGUUUGUUCAGUUGCACUAGCUAGCGGUCACUACGAUCGUAUAGCUACAUUAAAGAAUUGCUUAGCUGUAAGCCCGAGGUUUCGUGGGCAUGGCUUGCGGCCACACGGGUCUUCUCCGUGCCGGAAUCGAAGAGGACGGGCCACGUGUUGCGGGGUGGCGGCGUAUAGCUUCAGGUUUUAGCUGGCACUGCGCAGGCUACAGCUGAUAGCCGUCCUCUACGAGUGCGUCAGGGACAUGGACCCUUCCGAAUGGCCUUGCGACCCGACCCCACUAUUUCGUGACAAGGUAGCCCGGGCGCGUCAGUGCUAUCGAGCGAAAUGUGGAAUCACGGAAGCAAACGCCGUUCUGAAAUUGCCUCGCCAGCUUUUAGCUAUUGCGGCGACCUUACGUCGCCCACGGUCUGGAGCUACGGUGAGUGGUCCACUUCUUUGCGGUUCCAGCUGUUCUUCUACGGUUGUUUACUUUGCUCCUUGCGUCGCAGAUGAUGACCUUGAUAACCAAUCGUGCCGUCACCAACCGUCUUAACGCUUUUGCAUUCCCUCGGCGGGGAAGUGUUGCUGGUGGACUGGACUUCGUUCCUCGCCCGGCACUACUCCUGGUUCCUACUGUCUGCUUCUGAAGUGCGCCAACUGUAGGGGCCCUCACACAGCCUCGUCGAAAGACUGUCCCCGCAUCAAGAGGGAGCGCGCGGUUCUGAAGCAAAUGGCCAGAGACAAUACGGCCCGAGGCAGCCGAAGUAGUCCGGCGUCGACGUCGACGCGAUCGUAAGUCUUCAGAGAAGGCGCAUGCGCGAAGCGAUAGUACCCGCUCCACUACGGUACCACUUAGUCGCGCCGCGAAAGGGCCCUGCACUUCCACGAGGGAAUCGGAUAAGACUCUUUAAUUCUUUAGAGGAAUGGCCUACGAUACCGAGCCGCUCCCUUGCUAAGGGAACCUCACAAGGUCGCGGCCCCACCGGAGCCUUCUCUCGCCAUUGAUGAGUCACCUAAGACAGAUCGUCAAGUCAUCUCGAUGCUACGUUCCCUCAUGGAGGCCAUCCGAACGAUUUUAUUGGACAUGGGGACACAGUCUGCUCGAAGCGCAAUUAAAGUGCUGGACGCAUUAAGCCCAGUGCUGGAAACCCUCAACUAGAAAAAUGGCUGCCCAUACCCCAUCCAUCGGAAAAGAAGUCAAGGCAGCGUCCGUCAUCCAGUGGAACGCCAGAGGGCUAAAAUCACGAAUUUCAGAUUUCCCUCAGUAUGUGUACACCAAUGUGUUUCUACUCAUCGUCAUUUGUGAGCCCAACUUGUCGAAACCAAUCACUGUCAGGAUACGAAUGUAUCAUGUCAUCAACCAAUAGUGCAUGCAGCAAAAUCGUAGUUCUUUUUCGUCCUGAACUCGCCUAUGUUUUGCAACCAAUUGCGCCCCACGACGACAAUCAAUAUAUAUGCAUUACAGUUAAAAAGAACUUGUUUACUCUCAUAGGCGUGUAUGUAUCGCCUUCGAGCAAUUUCGAUACUAAAAGAUUAGCGAAUAUCUUGAGUGUUUGUCCCACCCCAUGGUUAUCAUAGAUUUCAAUGCACACCAUCCAGCAUGGGGAAGUACAAGGACAAAUGCAAGAGGACGAAGAUUAGCAAGCAUCGCCUACAACUAUGGCCUUACUCUCUUGAACGAUGGUAGCCUCGCCUUUCUUCGAGGCGUGAAAUACGGCAGCUGCCUCGACCUUGCUUUCGUCUCUCUCUCUCGCCAGAUAUGUGAAGUGGUUUCCAGAUAUUGAGACACAUGGAAGUGAUCACAUUCCCACCUAUUUGAAAAUCAAAGGCUUGUCGUCUAGAUCUGGCCCACGGAAUACCAUUCGGACGAUUCAAUGGGCGAACUUCAAAUCUGAUAUGGAAGGUGCCUGCCGCGAGGGCCUACCCUCUGGGUUAGAGCAAACAAUUAAAAGUACGAUGCGAAACGCCACUCGCGUGCUGACGAUCUCUUACACGCGAAACGACUUCGACAUAGAAUUAGAGAGACUUCGAGCACCUCGUCGCCGGGCGGAACGUCGAUAUCGACGCACAAAAUCAAUCCGUGAUCUUAGGGCAGCCAGGAGGAUUCAAAAGAAGAUUCAGCGUCUAAUGGAUACAUCAGCGUCGGAACGUUGGGCGACGUUUUGCCAGACACUCUACCCCCGCAAGCCACUGUCUCACAUUUGGAAAACGGUGCAAGGUCUGCGUUUCCUUCCGGAACAGCGUUUUCCAUUCAAAGCGCUCGCGCUUUUCCAAGGGCGGCAGGACAUCGAUGUCGGAGAUGACUUUUGGGCGCGGAUGGCAGACCAAGCGACACGUCCAGAUCCUCCAGCCCGAGAUGACGUCCCCCAUUCCCGUGAUUGCCGCAUGGACCUUCCUUUUACAAUUAAGGAGCUCGAGGCGGCAUUAGCUCUCUGCAGGCGCUCAUCAUGUACAGGUCCAGAUGGUAUAUCAUACCGAGCCUUGUGCUAUCUCGGAGAAUCCGCAUGGAUAGCAUUGUUGAGGCUCUACAACACCUCAUGAUAGGAGGGAAAUGUUCCUGACGAAUGGAAAGUGAGUUAUCUGGUGCCAAUCUUGAAGCAGGGCAAAUCCCCGCUAGAGCUCGCCUCUUGCCGCCCAGUAGCGUUGGCUAGCUGUGUAGGAAAGAUAAUGGAACGGGUGAUCCUUGACCGCCUGGAAUGGUACCUUGAACACAAGAUUUAUCCGAAUUCCAUGGCUGGUUUCCAACGUGACCGCUCUUCCCGCGACAAUGUAGUUGAUCUCGUUUCAUAUGUCCAGCACGAAAGGUCCCGAAAACGUUUAUCUGCAGCUCUAUUCUUAGAUGUGAAGGGGGCAAACGAUAACAUAUUACAUGAGGCCAUUCUCGACGCUUUUCUGACGGUUAGCCUAGGUGGUCGAGUAUUUUUGUGGAUUGCAAGUUACUUAUCUGCAAGAUAAUUGUGUUAACUGAAUGGCCCAACGGCGCUACCCUAUACCAGCAGGGGCGUUCCUCAAGGCGGUGCUCUCAGCCUGACGCUAUUCAACCUCACUCUUAUUGGGCUUGCCGAAUACUUUCCAACUACCACCAAAAUUUCAAUAUACGCAGACAUCUGUGUCUGGACUUCGGCAGUCGCACGUCCUCAGAUAUGUGUACGGCUUCAAAAAGCGGCUACUUUGACAGCGAGCUACUUGUGUGAACAAGGUUUCAGCAUAUCACCAGAAAAAUGCGCCCUGGUGGCAUUUACUCGCAAACCAAUGACGCCUUAUGUCGUCUUAAUCAAUGGGCGGACCAUUUCCUAUGUCAGAGCCCAGAUUUCUUGGCGUAAUUAUCGACCGAGACCUCUGUUGGAGCCCACACGUGGCCUACAUGAAACGGCGCCUGACAGCAACCUCCCAGUUAACUACUUCACAGGAAAGACGUGGGGGAUAUCAGUUGACACACUGAUGACCCUACAGAGCUCUUUCUCGGUUUUCUGAGAUAUAGUCUACCUGUACUGAACACCUGCAAGACAAUUAUUCGUGUUCUGCAGGCAGCACAAGCUCAAGCACUUAGUCUGCCUUGGUUUGCCCAGAUGCACGUCAACAAAGGCUACUAUUGCGAUUGCUGGGGACCAUCCAAUGCAAACUCGCAUCACGGUGGAAGUCCUGAGAACGCACAUCAGACAUUUUGCACAUGCCCCCCCUCGCCACCUUGCAACACUACCUUCAGACAGGCACCAAUCAUCAUUCUCUAAAACUAUCGUCAAGUACAACGACAAACUUCCCUCGGGCUUCACCGCUGAUCUAAACCAUCGCUUCUCCUUGGUGUCUUGUCAGCCCCACAGUCCAUCUCAGCGUACCAGGAAUCGGGGAAAAGUCUGAGCUGACGUCGCCUGUGCUGAAACAACUCUCUGCUUCUGCCCGAGAGGUACGCGGACAGUUCACAUAUUUAUAUACUGAUGGUUCCACAAACAUCCAGUGUUCGUCCGGUGCUAUGGUUGUCCCCAGCAAGAGCUAUUACCAUCAGCUUUAAGACUGACCACUCAACAUCGACAUCUGCGGAACUAGCUGCUCUUCGCGCUGCACUUUGUUGCGUCAAUCGGGAGCCACCUCGACAAUGGUCAAUCUUCAGCGACUCAAAGGCAGCCCUACAAUCUGUGCUAUCAGCUCUGCGUCGUGGGCCAUUCCAACAGCUCGUAUUCGAUAUUAGAUGCCUACUCCAUACAUCACAGGAGCAAGGACACCACGUGACGCUUCAGUGGCUGCCAAGUCACUGAAAGGAAAGGAAGACGCCGAUAAUGCCGCUCGGGCAGCUUUUGAAGACGCACAGGAAGAGGCCAUACCACUUUCAUGGUCUGACACAGCUAGCAGACUUCGAAUGCUUGCACAGGAGAUCACGCUCUCUCUAUGGUGCACACCAAACAGCCAGACCAACGGGAGCAACCGUCAAUACCACCUGCCCUCUUUGAUGCAUCUCUGUAUGCCAACUGGACUCCGCUGAAGAGAGGCCACUCUGCUUUAUCGCUUAUGGCUAGGGGAAGCCUAAACGAAAUCUUACUCGUUUCGAAUUCGAAUGGCCGGCAACGCUCUCUGUUGUGCCUGUCUUUGCGAGGAGACGCUGGAACACAUUCUGUGCGACUGUCCUGAAUAUAAUGUUCAGAGACAGUCCCUGGCGUCCGUUCUAGCGCACCUUGAGAAUAGACUAUUGUCAGCUGCAACUAUUUUCACGUAUCGGUGACAGACACCGCAGCUGAAGGCGACGAAGGGAUUACUUCGGUUUACGAAGGAGACGGGCUUGUGCAAGCGGCUGUGACAGUGAUGUCACGUACCACGCAAGAGUGACAGAGUAACUAACGAUGUGUGUGCCGUGUUAUGUGCUCCCUAUCUCUUCUCCCCAACUUUCAUCCCCCCAUCCCGCUCCCAUGUCUAGGGUAGCAAACCGGUUAAGCUAAACUGGUUAUUCUCCCUGCCUUCCUUCUCCACUUUUUCCUUCAUUCGUUCCUACCGUCUGCUUUCCAUUGCGGCUAUUCACAAGCAUAUCCAGCGGGCGCUUCUGCACAUCUUCUCCGGCCGUGUUACGCCUGCGUUUUUCUCGCUACUGGCUUUCAGCUUGGAGACGCAGAUUCGUUAAACUCCCUGCACUACUUCUGACAAGUACCAUCUAUACGCUCCACCGGUACUACGGUUGUUUCCUCGUGUGGGCGGAUAAGCCCUGUGGCAUUUAAGGUUCCGAACGUCUGCUUUUGAAUGAAGCCGUGUUUUCCCCUGACGACUAUGGUUAGUGUUCUCUCAGUGCUCCUUUUCUUAAUCCUGUUGCUACACCUUGCCGGUCCCGCAAGUACAAAAAUUUAGUGGGCUUCCGAUGAAAUUUGCGGUAGAAUUUAUUUACUGUACAGACCUUCGAGGUUAGGUUUAUGCUUCGGAAAACUUCGCCGCAGGGUUUCCGAAAGACUUGUGUGUCGCUCUCCCAGUAAGACGACGUUUAAUUACUUCCGUUCCUGGUUAUAUUUCUUUGCUGAUUUCAUUUCCUCAUCAGUAAUUUAUUUCGUCUACUCGGAGUGCCUCAUUUUUCACAAUGCUUUGGUAACUCUACGUAGUCUUCACUUUUGUCGAAGGUUGCCGUCAUAUUGUUAAAUAUCCGCCCCCUUCCCCCUAGUUUUCUCCGCAGAAACUGGGAGAAAAACUGGGUUCGCAGAAUAGGUUCUCCAGAUCCAUCGUGAACUUUUGUGAACGAUUGUUUCCCAAUGAUACAACAUACUUCGUAUACUCGGGUGUAUAUUUCUCCGUUAUUUAGUACACAUCCACCGAUCGCUUUCCGCGGUAGACUUGAAAACUACGAAUGAGCCUUUCACAGAAAUCUCCCCCACACAAUGUUUUGGGGAGGAAAUUUCCACUUGGUGAUAGGUCAUAAAUUGUUCACUUGUUCAUUGACGUAAUGUUCCUGUGACCGCAUUCAAUCCCUUAUUCGUUCUCUUGAAAGUCUUGCAUUGUUGCUCUGCACGUUUAUGUUCGAGCUGAGAAACGCCGAAAAUAGUGUAGAAAACCGAUGUGAAGCGCCUCCAAAAGUUCCGCAGUGUACACCUCUUGCCACGGCACUUGUGAAAGUUGAUACAGAAACUUUGGCUAUGUCUCCUUGGUUUUUGUAGUUGCUCCCAGCGCACCGUUGAAACGUAGACCAGCCAUUUCAGACAAUUUGGUCUUCGUUACUCUAUCCUAUAUAGGAGGUACUUCUUACAAGGAUCUGAAAUUGUAUCUUCGCCACACAACGCACUGUCGCAUUACUUUCUUAUUUUCGUCCUCCGAUUACCCGAAAUCUCGUUAUUAUACGCGCCAGUGUACCGCGUUCUCCACCGUGAAGUUUGUCCACAUAGGUGUCGCACUAAUACUCCAGAUUUCUUCCAUUUACGUGUGAUCGGGUGCUGCUCUUAUGAUACGAGCCCUACCGAAAGCGUCUUUGGAGUCUCAUUCGGUCUUUAUCGUAAUAUAUCUGGUAUUCAACUACUGUCUGCACAUUCGCUUGCUUGCUGAAUUUCUGCGCUUUUUCAAUAUGCACGCUUUGUUCUAGCCAAAUAAGGCAGGCGUCGGCGGUAUUUAUUUCUUUUGCUUUUAGUGGACCGUAGAACUUGUCCUCAAAUAUUAAUCACGGAACGAAACAUUCACGUUGUUGCUCUCCAAAUAUUCAAGUAACUGCCGAACUUGUCAACUUCAAUGUCUCUUCUUGAGAUCAUUUUCGACGUAUAUCUGACACGAGAAUCAUCUCCUUUCAUUAUUAUACGGUAUUUUGUAACGGUUAUUUGGCCUGUAGCAACUUGGGUCCCUUCCACGAAAUUGUUCACUACGACAUCUUUUCUACGGUCACUCCUGGUUAUAUCUGCUCAACUUUUCACUGCUAUUGACGUAUCCCCAUUGUUCUCCUACUGAGUAAUUUUUUUUUUCUUGUAGUAUGUGUUCAACGGGUGCUUCAUGCAUUUUCAUUCUCCAAUGCAGCGCAAUUGUACAAGUGGUCGUAUACUUUACUGUUACCUCCAAGUUCUAAUUUGCGAGACUGACGACGGUGUUCAUUAGAGCUACGGUGUCCAUUGCCAGGACCAGCACUGUCUCCGCUUUGAUAUAACAGUACCAUGAAUGCUGCACUUGAAUACCCCGCCGGGCUUGCAUCUGAGAAGUGUCAAUGCUUACGUUCAGUUUCUUAUUGUCGAUACGCGCUUGAGGCAUUUAGUCCUUUAUCUUCCUCGGUAUAUUUCUCCAUAGAUCAUUUAUCUUUGUCUGGGAGAGGGUUGUCCCAAGAUUCCGGUUUCUUUCCCGUCAUUGAAUACCGAUAUUAGCUGUUACAGUGCAGGACGUUAGAAAUUCCCGCCGACCAAAUAUUUUUACCCUGGCUGCAUUCCACUUCGAUUCCUGAGCACUUAACUGGCGUCUUCAUAUCGAUAUAGCAGAAUACCGUCGGCCGUGUCACAGUUCAUUUCUAGAAUACGGAUUUGGCUUGAUGAAGUAAGAACGGCAUCUUGAAGUGCUUUUAAAUUCUCAUAACUGUUUGAUGUCCCUUUCCAAAGAUUCAUUGCUUGGAAAGAUUUUGCUUCCAUGUACACGACUUUAGCCUGGUUCUAAGAUUUCCAAGCGUAACUUCAUCAACGCAAACUUAUUUACGUUUGCUGGUAUUACAAGAAUUUCUUCGAAAAUUCAUUACCACUGUUGGUACAUCUGCAUUCAAAUUAUCUCCUGUCUGAAGAUAAUCAUUCGGAACAUUCCUGAUCUUAACCACGAAGCGUCAAAUGCUACCCUUAUUUUCUUGCUAGUUGGUCUUUUCGAAUUGCUUGAUGGCGCGAUAUGGUAGUUAUUGUUCAGAUUCUUCCGAGCAUGCUCGUUCUUCCAUUCCAAGCGUCAAAGAUCUCGCAUUGAACAGUCAUAGUCAUCUCGGUACUGAAUUUCCCUGGUGUCUUCGAGAUCGUCUUCUGAUUGCUGCUUCGUUGAGUUCCACGUUAACUUGCUCUCUCCAUCCUUCUGAACAGUCACUGUGACUACAUAGUCCACUUCAUGCAUCGUUUCUUUCCGAGGAGCUAAUCCAGUAUAUUCCGCCAUCAAAAAGUUCAAAAUGGAAGUCGUCAGUUUCUGCGGCGUCAAGAACCAUGGCAAGUUUCGCGUUUCGCAGUUCUCUACACCACAUGGGUCAGGCAGAAUCCAGUCGGGAGUUUUCUAUUUUCCAUUGUAUCUUCGUUUCCUCUUUCCACUGGACUUGUCUCCUAACCUGGCACUACUACUUGUUCUGCAUUCCUGUUAUCAACUGCGGUCCUCAACCGUACCCAGCGUGCCCCUGCACUACUCUAUGGUCUGCGCUCCCAAAAAUUACUUCGGCCUGGAGCAUCACCUGUUCCAGAAGCGACUGCUGUUGCUUCUACAUUCCCUCGCGAGUGGCGCCCUGCUGGUAGAGUGGACUUGUCUCCUCGCCCUGCACUACUCCUGGUUCUGCAUUCCUGUUAUCAACUGCGGUCCUCAACCGUACCCAGCGUGCCCCUGCACUACUCUAUGGUCUGCGCUCCCAAAAAUUACUUCGGCCUGGAGCAUCACCUAUUCCAGGAGCGACUGCUGUUGCUUCUACAUUCCCUCGCGAGUGGCGCCCUGCUGGUAGAGUGGACUUGUCUCCUCGCCCUGCACUACUCCUGGUUCUGCAUUCCUGUUAUCAACUGCGGUCCUCAACCGUACCCAGCGUGCCCCUGCACUACUCUAUGGUCUGCGCUCCCAAAAAUUACUUCGGCCUGGAGCAUCACCUGUUCCAGAAGCGACUGCUGUUGCUUCUACAUUCCCUCGCGAGUGGCGCGCUGCUGGUAGAGUGGACUUGUCUCCUCGCCCUGCACUACUCCUGGUUCUGCAUUCCUGUUUUCAACUGCGGUCCUCAACCGUACCCAGCGUGCCCCUGCACUACUCUAUGGUCUGCGCUCCCAAAAAUUACUUCGGCCUGGAGCAUCACCUGUUCCAGAAGCGACUGCUGUUGCUUCUACAUUCCCUCGCGAGUGGCGCCCUGCUGGUAGACUGGACUUGUCUCCUCGCCCUGCACUACUCCUGCUUCUGCAAUCCUGUUUUCAACUGCGGCCCUCAAGCGUACCCAGCGUGCCCCUGCACUACUCUACAAUCUGGGCUCCAAAAGAUUACUUCGGGCUAGAGCAUCACCUGUUCCAGGAGCGACUGCUACUGGUUCUAGAUUCCCUCAUUAGUGGCGGCCGUGCUGGAAGACUGGUUGUUUCCUCGUCUUGCACUACUGGUUCUGCACUCAUGUAUUCAACUGCUGUCCACAAGCGCGCCCAGCGUGCUCUUGCACGACUCUACGGCCUGCGCUUCAAAGGAUUACUUCGGCCACGAGCAUCACCUGUUCCAAGAGCGACUACUACGGCUUCUACAUUUUCGCCAGUGGCGUCCUGCUGGCAGACUGGACUUGUCUCAUCGCCCUGCACUACUACCGGUUCUGCACUCCUGUUUUCGACUCCGGUGGGUGCCUAGCACGCUCCUGCACAUCGACUCUCAGUUCUGCGCUCCAAAAGAGAUAACUUCGGGCACCAGGAUCACCCAUUCCAUGAGCGACUGCUAUUGCUUCUACGUUCUCUCACCGACGGCGUCCUGCUGGCAGACUGGACUUAGCCUGGCGCCCUUGCACCUAAUUGUGGUUCCCAGUUUCUGCUGUCGCUUUUGGCGCACGAGAAAUAUUCCAGCACGCUCAUUUACAAGAACAUUCCUGGCCUUGCCUCACGAGCAACCAUCUUCAGCCCGAUCGUCCUGCCGCGUCCUCUAUACUACAAGCUUCCUAAUGAACUCGUGAACGCGUCGCACGCCUCUGUCUUGGCGGUGUCCUGCACUGUGUUGACGGCGUGUUCAUUCUCUGAAGGACUUCGUGUCGUCACCAUCCCGCGACCCUCCAUCGGAUGUGCUCCUACAGUUCGCUGUUGCCUUUUUCCGCAAGCAUAUUUAAUAAGGUCAUUGUAGCAAGCUUUUCUGCUUUGGAAGAGUGGUACGUUGCUCGGCGAAUGGAUGCCAAUUCUAGGAAUCGGGUUAAUACGAAGCAGAACAUAAAGGUCUGGUUACGUGGACACCACUUGGUCCUUAAUAAGGACUGUCAAUGUUUUCAUGAGCCGAUCUGUAAAUUUUUGGUGGCGAGAGUAAUGGACAUUCAUUGACAUUGUGCACUUUUAUAGUAGCACGCUGUGUGUGCGUGCGCGUGCGCGUGUGUGUGCGCGUGUGUGUGCGCGUGUGUGUGCGCGUGUGUGCGCGUGUGUGCGCGUGUGUGUGCGCGUGUGUGUGCGCGUGUGUGUGCGCGUGUGUGUGCGCGUGUG